UACGUAGGCAGCGAGCGUUGUUCGGAGUUACUGGGCGUAAAGGGUGUGUAGGCGGUUGUUUAAGUUUGGUGUGAAAUCUCCCGGCUCAACUGGGAGGGUGCGCCGAAUACUGAAUGACUUCGAGUGCGGGAGAGGUGAGUGGAAUUCCUGGUGUAGCGGUGGAAUGCGCAGAUAUCAGGAGGAACACCAAUAGCGAAGGCAGCUCGCUGGGACGUUACUGACACUGAGGCGCGAAAGCGUGGGGAGCGAACAGG
rnacentral:rRNA from 1 species